rnacentral:lncRNA from 1 species
UAGAAUUGAGCUCCUAUACUUUUAAAAAUACCAAGUCAUUGGUGCUUGUAAGUUUUUGGCUCCUGGAUUAAGAGAUGUGCGGUUAGAAUGAUGUGGGCCCCUAGGGUUGAGUGGCCCUAGGGUUGAGUGGGUGGUUUGUUGAAUAGUAUAAUCUAACGGCUAAAAAUGAUCAAAGGUAUAGAUCUAACGGUAAAAAAUUUAUAAGCACCAAGUGCUUGGUGCUUGUACAAGCACCAUAGCCUCUCUCUCUCUCUCUCUCUCUCUCUCUCUCUCUAUAUAUAUAUAUAUAUAUAUAUAUAUAGUGAGUCUACUAUGCUAUCGGAAGCACGGAGCCUUCCAUGCUUCCAGCUCGUUUUCGAUGUUGCGACUUUCGAAUCGUCGAUCNUAUAUAUAUAUAUAUAGUGAGGCUACUAUGCUAUCGGAAGCACGGAGCCUUCCGUACUUCCAACUCGUUUUUGAUGUUGCGACUUUCGAAUCGUCGAUCGGUUCCGUUAAACUUAAUCGUCGAUCGGCUCCGUAAAAAAAUUAUAACUUUUUCAAUCCUUUUUUUGAUUUAUCUUAUC